rnacentral:lncRNA from 12 species
GUCAUUCUGUUUCCUAACAUUACAGCUGUCAUUGUAUUACCUCAUUCUGUGGAAAACUGUGGCCAAAUAAGGUAUCAAUGUGUUGGGAGUUGAUAUCAAGUGAUUUUAUAUAUAUGUAAUUUUUUUUUUAGCCCUGCAGAAGCAUCCUCAGAACUUCCUGCGUUUAUUUUCACGAGGUGCGCAGGAGCUUAGCUGGCACUCAGCAAGUCAGAAGAGGGGGGUUUCCAUCCAACUUUGAUUUACGAUCCACAGAGAUGCCAAUUUCCUGUUUUUGAAGCGCUGCGGAAAACUUUCCCAAAUAUAAUCUGAUAGGCAACAAAGCCUCCUAACAGAUGUGAAGAUUCGAGGAAGGAUCCAAAGCACAACGGUGGGUGGCGGUUCCUGCUUCCAGCCGGUGGCUUCCACUCUCCACUUCCUUUGGGAAUCGCAGCAGGGUUGGCGAGAGCUGGCGAACAAUUUAGAAAGUCACUGUAAAAACACAGCCCUCCGGCAAGGAAGCUUUUCCGGGUUGCAAACCCUUCUUCUAAACCUUCUAAAAAAGCCAGUAACCAGCGCCCUCCCCGAGUCCUCACACUUAGCACAGUCCUUCCUCCGUGUGUCCUGGACACCUUGGGGUCCCCCACUUCAGGCACAGCUGGCUGUGAAGGGCCUUUGUCGAUGUGAACGUGCAGCAGCAGCAGCAGCAGCCUGGGGGUUAGGACCCUGUCCCUCCACGCGGGGGGCUUCGACCUGACCGCCAGGGGCCUUAACUGUA